rnacentral:rRNA from 1 species
UACAGAGGAGCCAAGCGUUGUCCGGAUUGACUGGGCGUAAAGCGCACGCAGGCGGUUGCGCGCGUGGGGGGUGAAAUCUGGCCGCUUAACGGCCAGGCGCCAUCCCAUACGGCGCGACUGGAGUGAUGCAGAGGUCGAUGGAAUUGCCGGUGUAGUGGUGAAAUGCGUAGAUAUCUGCAGGAACACCCGUGGCGAAAGCGGCGCGCUGGACCACUACUGACGCUGAGGAACGAAAGCUAGGGGAGCAAACAGG